rnacentral:rRNA from 1 species
GACGAACGCUGGCGGCGUGCUUAACACAUGCAAGUCGUACGGUAAGGCCCUUUCGGGGGUACACGAGUGGCGAACGGGUGAGUAACACGUGAGUAACCUGCCCACAACUUUGGGAUAACGCUAGGAAACUGGUGCUAAUACUGGAUAUGUGCUCCUGCUGCAUGGUGGGGGUUGGAAAGCUCCGGCGGUUGUGGAUGGACUCGCGGCCUAUCAGCUUGUUGGUGGGGUAGUGGCCUACCAAGGCGGCGACGGGUAGCCGGCCGGGGAGGGUGACCGGCCACAUUGGGACUGAGAUACGGCCCAGACUCCUACGGGAGGCAGCAGUGGGGAAUAUUGCACAAUGGGCGCAAGCCUGAUGCAGCAACGCCGCGUGCGGGAUGACGGCCUUCGGGUUGUAAACCGCUUUCAGCAGGGACGAAGCUUUUUGUGACGGUACCUGCAGAAGAAGCACCGGCUAACUACGUG